UUUUCUCCAUGCUUGUGUUUCAUUUUUGAGGCUUUCUCAUUUAUAACUGGGUCUGCCUUACAGGUGUCCUGUGUCCCAGAGAAUAGAGACCAAAGGACUUUCAGGAAGUCCCUUCUCAGGAUUUCAGUAACGUGCAGUACUGAGCCAGUGUUAAAGUACUGUUGCUUUCUAAGAGAGGAAGGAGAGGAAGAACAAAAGUGGUACCAACAUGGAAAGGAACUGAAAAGAUCCCGCCUCCGCUAUUCAGAGGUUGAGCAGCCAGUCUCAGAGAAACAAGAGGACAUAGCAUCUGGAGGAAGACUCUUUGGGGCUGAGAACUUAGCUGAAAACCUAGCGGAAGGCAAAAGACAAAGAGGCAGCUUUACCCUUAACGUGCGAAGCAAGGUAAGGAGCACAGGGAGGAGAGGACUCCUUUGCGGGAGAGACCGGGUGCCACUGGAGGAGUGGACAUUGCAGAGACUAGCAUCUGAGAGGGUUCUCACUGUCUCUCUGAGUUCCAGUAACUGAACAAGGCCUAUACUCAACAGCAACAGCUCUGACCUCUAAAAUGUCUGGGGGUAAAGAUAAAACCAGGUAGCUGUGUGACGAGUCUUUCCCUAGUUCUCUUAUAUAUAAAAUGAAUACAUCCAGGCUUAAAAUGAAUAAGUAUAUGGUAGUUAUAGAGAUUAUAUUGUUAUAUAUAGAAGUCCUGAGGCCAGUAACUGGUACAUUUUAUAUUUGCAUACCGGGCCUAAUGAUAGCGUUGGGCUGGAGGUUUAAAUGUGUGUGAUAUGUUUUGUACUCAAUAGCUCAUCUUUUCUCUUAGGAAAGGAUGAAUGUCCAGAGAGUGUCAAAGCUUGGGGCAAUUCAAAGCUUUCCAUGUAGUGAGGACAUCCAGUCGUGCGGGCUCCAUUUCUUCCUGGAAAGUUUUCUUUCGUUUUUCUUUUGGAUAUUCUAUCUGACGAGGAUUAUCACAUUUUGAUUUUCUUGGAAUGGCUCAGAGCUCAGAGCUAUGGAAAAUAGAAAGCUAGUGUGAACGUUCUUUCCCUUCUCAGGGAUUUGGAGUCUUAUUACAGUGCAGUUUAAGGUUUCUGUGAUUUGGUUUUUAAUCUUGUAGUCUACACAGAGCUAAAGAACAUGUCACGCUUUUUUGGGAUUUCCUUCCAAGCCAUUAUUGUUUAGAGUUUAUAACCUAGUCUAUUUCCAAAAAAGCAUUUGAGGUGCUUUCAAAUAUGAAAUGAAUAUAAUAUGGUACAAUUAUACAUAAUCAUCCACAUACAAUUAUAAGUGAUCAUUCAAAUAAAGGUGAUAUAUCCCAACA
rnacentral:lncRNA from 1 species